AGAGUUUGAUCCUGGCUCAGAACGUACGCUGGCGGCACGCCUAACACAUGCAAGUCGAACGAAGUAGCAAUACUUAGUGGCAGACGGGUGAGUAACAUGUGGGUAUCUACCCUUUGGCCUGGAAUAACACGAGGAAACUUGUGCUAAUACCGGAUAAGUCUUUACGGAGAAAGCUUUAUGCACCAUUGGAUGAGCCCGCACUUGAUUAGUUUGUUGGUAGGGUAAUGGCCUACCAAGACUAUGAUCAAUAGCUGAUUUGAGAGGAUGAUCAGCCACAUUGGGACUGAGACACGGCCCAAACUCCUACGGGAGGCAGCAGUGGGGAAUCUUGCACAAUGGAGGAAACUCUGAUGCAGCGAUGCCGCGUGAGUGAAGAAGGCCUUGGGGUUGUAAAGCUCUUUCGUCGGGGAAGAAAAUGACUGUACCCGAAUAAGAAGGUCCGGCUAACUCCGUGCCAGCAGCCGCGGUAAUACGAAGGGACCUAGCGUAGUUCGGAAUUACUGGGCUUAAAGAGUUCGUAGGUGGUUGAAAAAGUUGGUGGUGAAAUCCCAGAGCUUAACUCUGGAACUGCCAUCAAAACUUUUCAGCUAGAGUAUGAUAGAGGAAAGCAGAAUUUCUAGUGUAGAGGUGAAGUUCGUAGAUAUUAGAAAGAAUACCAACUGCGAAGGCAGCUUUCUGGAUCAUUACUGACACUGAGGAACGAAAGCAUGGGUAGCGAAGAGGAUUAGAUACCCUCGUAGUCCAUGCCGUAAACGAUGUGUGUUAGACGUUGGAAAUUUAUUUUCAGUGU
rnacentral:rRNA from 1 species